rnacentral:rRNA from 1 species
GAUGAACGCUGGCGGCGUGCCUAACACAUGCAAGUCGAACGGACUUUUCAUGAAGCCUAGCGAUUGAAAAGUUAGUGGCGGACGGGUGAGUAACGCGUGGGUAACCUGCCUUGUACUGGGGGACAACAGUUGGAAACGACUGCUAAUACCGCAUAAGCGCACAGCUUCGCAUGAAGCAGUGUGAAAAACUCCGGUGGUACAAGAUGGACCCGCGUCUGAUUAGCUGGUUGGUGAGGUAACGGCCCACCAAGGCAACGAUCAGUAGCCGGCCUGAGAGGGUGAACGGCCACAUUGGGACUGAGACACGGCCCAAACUCCUACGGGAGGCAGCAGUGGGGAAUAUUGCACAAUGGGGGAAACCCUGAUGCAGCAACGCCGCGUGAGUGAAGAAGUAUUUCGGUAUGUAAAGCUCUAUCAGCAGGAAAGAAAAUGACGGUACCUGACUAAGAAGCCCCGGCUAACUACGUGCCAGCAGCCGCGGUAAUACGUAGGGGGCAAGCGUUAUCCGGAUUUACUGGGUGUAAAGGGAGCGUAGACGGUUUUGCAAGUCUGAAGUGAAAGCCCGGGGCUUAACCCCGGGACUGCUUUGGAAACUGUAGAACUAGAGUGCAGGAGAGGUAAGUGGAAUUCCUAGUGUAGCGGUGAAAUGCGUAGAUAUUAGGAGGAACACCAGUGGCGAAGGCGGCUUACUGGACUGUAACUGACGUUGAGGCUCGAAAGCGUGGGGAGCAAACAGGAUUAGAUACCCUGGUAGUCCACGCCGUAAACGAUG